AAUUUCAUUAACCCCCUUCCCUCUUAUAUUCAAUUUACAUCCAAUAUACAAAACUAAAUCAGAUUUCAAAGUAAUGCAGCAUGAAUUAUUCAUUUUUCCUUUAGUAUUUGAAGUCCUGGCUUUUGUAUUUUCAGAGUAAUUUAGGAACUAAGGCAAAAAAAGUUCUUCCUGUGUAGCUAUUGUGGAAGGUUUGCAUCCACCCACUCUAUUGUGUCUUUAUUAGUUCUCUUUUUGUUCAAUUGCUUAAAUUUGUUCUUUGCUUUUCCUUAUUAUUAUUCUACUGCUUAUUAUUACCUUAUCCCUCCUCCUUCCUCUCAAGUUUGGCUAUGUUCUUCACUCUUCAGGGAGGUAGUUUCAAUUCUCGAUUUUUGGGUCAUUUCCUCUUCCUCUUCAGUCCGUUUCUCGGUUCACUGAUACUAUUUUCCAAUUUCUUUUUCUUCUUCAAUUCUUUUUGUUCCUAAUCUCCCCUGAAGGUGGAGAUUAUAGAGUUUGAAGGCAGUUGAUGUCACUGUACCUGAUGGCUCCAACCUUCAGCGAAGUCGUCGAGGUGGAAGGGAUGGCAGCGGUGGUGGUAAAGGUUACAAAGGUUGAAGCGGUGGCGACGGCGGCCAUGGUGGUGGAGGAGUCUAAGGCAGCAUGGCUCUGACUGGUCGCCGUGGAGUUUAUCACAGUGGUGAAUAAGGGGGAGGAUGUGAUGACAGUCGUGCAUGCUAAAGCACAUUGUGGAAUGGGUCAAGGUAAGCAACCAGGGAGGAGGCGGAUGCAGAGGCCGGUUCCGCAGCGGCGUUUGUGCCUGCGGCAGAUGCUACAACCAUAGGCAUCUGUGGGCAUUUUGCAACAGGCUGCCCAACGUUAAUCGCGCAUACCCUUCCAGUUUCACUUAAUAACGUUGGAGGUGUAUUCGUGGGAGCCUGUUCUGUAUUAAUGGGAAACUUUUGGGAUGCUCAUAGUACUGAAACUCUGUUGGAGUCAGAUAUAUCGGUUGAAAGCAAUCUUUUCUGAUUGGAAUUGUCCAUGACUCCUUUAAAAGAAGAGGUUAGUUUAGUAAUUUUAUAUCCGGUGGGUUCCAAGUUUGGUAGUUUUGAUGGAAUUAUUGAUGCUCUUCAUGCUUCGUUGCAAAGGCUUAGGAUUUAGAAUUUUCUGGAUAGAAAUGUAAUUUAGAAUUGCAUAUCAAUUCUCCUAUCAAUUCUGUAUAAUUUAUCAGACCAGACUAUUAUUUUAUUUGUAUUUACUUGAUAGAAAAAUACAAAUCUUUCCUAAAAAAGUUUCAGUAUAUAUGUUACUCUAUCAUAGUUGUACCAAUAAGAUGUGGGCUGGGAGGAUGAUUUUCUCGCUUUCUCACUCAUCAGUUAGUGUUUGUGAUAGCUUUAUGGUUCGUAAUGCAUUUUUGUGUAUAACUGCUUUUGUAUGCACAACGCCCACCUCACUUCUGCUUCAAAACAGUUGUUCCAUUUGUUCUUAUAAGCUUCAAAAGAGCCAAAGAUAAUCAUCAAUUGUUGAUACAAAAUUACUCACCUGAAGCUGCUUUUUACAUGGAUACUAGCACUUAGUUUUAUUUAAUCUUUCUUUUUUUUGGGUAAAUAAAAUGAAAUUAAUAUUAUUAUUGUUAUUAUAAGUACUAUCUUAUGAUUCAUGUCUUUUAGUUUUAUAUAAUGUGUUUAAUAUCCCAGCAACAUGGAUUGAAGACCAAAUGCAUUAGAUGAAUCUGAAAUUUUUACAAGGGUAUACCAUAUUUGAAGCUUGCUAAUGAGGGGUUUGUUUGCUAUUGGUAAUGGAAGCAAGAAGUUAAGGAAUCUAAUACUAAGUCACAAGGGUUUGGAAGCAAUUGCUAUCGGAUGCAAGGAACUUACACAUCUUGAAGUCAAUGGAUGUCACAACAUUCGAGAUUUGGGGCUAGAAUCCAUUGGAAGAUGUUGCAAGAUGGAGAAGGAUGCAAGUUCCUACAAACUCUUCGCAACAGGUAGAUUUCUCAAACCUUGGGGAUGGUGCUAUAUGUGGUAUACCUAUUGGCUCUAGGAAUUUAAAGAAACUUCAGAUCCAUUGCUAUUAUGAGGUACUUCAUUUGCAUGACUAUUUGGUUUACCAUGUUAAACUUCAUUUAAAAAACGAAUAUUUUUGGGAUGACUCACUUUCAAAAUACUCUCUGUGUAAUGUAAUAUAGGAGAAUGACUGUAACUCAUUUUGUCUCAACACACAAUUUUACCAAUUUUUUCUUUAUCUAAAUGGCUUCUUUUGGUGAUUCCACAUUCAAAACUAAUGUUAGUCAAUAAAAUCCGAAAACCAUGAGAGUUUGAGACCGGUGAGCUACAUGAAAAUGAAUGUCAAAAUGCAGUAUUUAACUUGGUUACAGAAAUUUAUUCACUCCUAUGCAUAGGUCUACUACUCUCUUUUGAUUUGUUUCAUCGUCCAAUACCGCAUUCCCAUUCUGCACACGCAUAAAUGUGUUACGUUUUCUAUAUGCUAUGCUGUCUAUGCUAUGCUGUCUAUGCAGUUUUGGCAAAAAUUUAAAAACGUUGCUGAAGUUAAAACAUUUUUUAGUAUGUUACCCAUUUUUAUUGAGCUUGAAGAUUAAAAGUGUUUCAUCCAAAUACAGUUUUAGCAUUAGUCUUAGGUUUUUAGCCUUUUCUCUUAUCUUUUAAUUCAAUUUUUUUUCCAAUUUUUGAAAGGUGCAGAUGAUUUUGCCACAAGUUGAGGUUAUUACUGCUUGAUUUUGAUGGCUGAUUAUAUAGUUUUAUUGCAUCAGGUAUCAUUUGUUAUAUGUUAGUACUUUCUCAUGUUAUAUUCCGACCAAACUUUAUGAAAGUAUCUUUUUCUUUCCAAAAGAUUAAUUCUUUGUUGUUAAUAGUGUAUUUUUCGUUGAUCUCUCUUGAAUCCGCUUUGUUACUUUUUAUCUGUUCUGAAUCUGCUAUAGCAUAUAGUUUUUUCAAUUUGUUCUCAAUUUAGCUUAUAUGUUUGUUACAUGUUUUUAGUUGCAACAACCAUGAGCUAACAUAUGAUUCAGGCAUUCAUGUAUCCAUUUUCUAAAUUUGAUAUUUUGAUUUCUUUUGCUUUUUUAAGAUUUAUUGCAAUUUGAAUGGUAUUUUAUAACAUUGUUGGUUCUAACCUUUUUCUUUUUCUCCUUUUAGGAGUAGAAUCUUUUAAGCCAUCAUUCUUAUCUUUAUUUAUUUUUUUCUAUUUUUAAAUUUUCUUAUUAUUUGAUUCAUUAAUUAAAAUAUUUAAAAUUGUUUAGCACCCGAAUUUUCAGAUGGAUUUAAACUAUGAAUGUAAUUGAGUUUGAGUUUAGUUUUGAUCAUUUGGAAUUAGGUAUAUUUUGAAUUAUACUUAAAAAAUAAAAAAUAAGGUUAAUUUCGAAUAAUGUAUCUUUAUCUUAUAAUAAUUAUUUUGUUUUAUUUUAAUUUUUCAUAUUAGUGCAAUAAUUAGUUUUAUGCUUUGCUCAACUAAGGGACCACCCGUGGAUUUGAAAUAUGCAAUAAUUUCUAAUUUCUUAUAAAUG